rnacentral:tRNA from 1 species
AGUUAAUGAACUUGAAAAAGUAUAUGACUUGAAAUCAUACCAUAGAAAUAAAAUUUUCUAUUAACUU